CCUACGGGAGGCUGCAGUGGGGGAUAUUGCACAAUGGGGGGAACCCUGAUGCAGCGACGCCGCGUGGGUGAAGGAGCGUUUCGGAGCGUAAAGCCCUAUCGGCAGGGACGAAGGAUGACGGUACCUGACUAAGAAGCCCCGGCUAACUACGUGCCAGCAGCCGCGGUAAUACGUAGGGGGCAAGCGUUAUCCGGAUUUACUGGGUGUAAAGGGGGCGCAGACGGCAGGGCAAGCCAGGAGUGAAAGCCCGGGGCGCAACCCCGGGACUGCUCUUGGAACUGGGCGGCUGGAGUGCGGGAGGGGCAGGCGGAAUUCCUGGUGUAGCGGUGAAAUGCGUAGAUAUCAGGAGGAACACCGGUGGCGAAGGCGGCCUGCUGGACUGCGACUGACGUUGAGGCCCGAAAGCGUGGGGAGCAAACAGGAUUAGAUACCCGGGUAGUC
rnacentral:rRNA from 1 species